GUAUGCCAAUUGGUAACAGUAUGUUAUACUGUUUAAACAUUGUUUGACAUUGUGGAAAUAAAGCUCGCGAGAAAUGGUGGCACUAUGGGAUCACCUCAAGUCAAAUGGUCUGUACUUACAGUAGCCGAACACACUAUCACAUAUAAAUUUCACAAUACAGUACAUAUGUUUAACAAUCUGUCGAACGGUUACACGCAUUUGUAUUUGUAAGUGAAAUAUUCUGAGAUUUGCCGAUGCGCUGUUUGUCAGUAAAUUUAAGAAAAAAAAGCAAAAAAGUGCAAAUCGAGUUUGAAAAGUUGAUUCCGCGGGUGUCCUCCACACAGAAGUAACAAAAAUAUGUUUUUCGCCGUUCGAUGCAUUCUAUUCGGCGUAUCUACAAGGUUAACAAUUGCAGUUAACAAGUGCAGUGCGGGAGAGUUGACUGGAACUUAGGUGCGUUGAAGCGGCCGGAUCGGAAUUUGGCAAUUUUAACCAAUGCAACAUAAUGAAGGGUCGAAAAAUCUUCCACAGUGAACACAUAUAGUUAUUGUUUGCAGCUGCUAGUUACGUGAGUUGAAGUGAGAAAGUUUUUGAUUGAAAAAUAUAACUCAUGAUGUGCUUCUUAAA